CCUUGAGAUGAGUCUUCCCUGACCCUUUAAGGGUCCUAAAGGAACGUUUAAGACUAAGACGUUGAUAGGUUGGGUGUGUAAGCGUAGCGAUACGUUGAGCUAACCAAUACUAAUGAACCGUGAGGCUUAACCUG
rnacentral:ncRNA from 1 species